rnacentral:sRNA from 1 species
UGAAUGUGUGUGCUCGAUGCAUCCUGUAU